ACACGGCGGCUGUAAGGUUAGGAAAGGUCCUAAGGUAGCAAAAUUCCUUGACAGGUAAGUUCCGUCCAGCAUGAGCGGUGUAAUGACUUCCUCACUGUCACUUCCCUCGUCUCUCAGAAAUUGAGUCAUCCUUGAUUACGAGGAAGCCAACGGCCUGACGAUAAGACCCUGAGCACU
rnacentral:rRNA from 1 species